GGGCCCAAGGAGCUUGUUGGGACGUUCAGGAGACCCCGAGGUGGGAGGUUUUGGACACAACCUGCAUCUCCUCAGAGCGCCUUCGACUCUGGAGGCCGCCGUGUGACGGCCUGACACAGGGCUGCGGUGAGGACCGACCAGAGAGGGAUUUCCUUUUCGUCCUCCCAACUACCAGGGAUUGAGCACUGGGGGCCAGGCAAGGGAGAACAUACUAUUUCAUAUCAAAUCAGAUUCUCCACGUUACCUACUCAAGUCAUAAGCGUCUGAAGAAAGUGCUCUGUAAAUUCUCAGCAGAAUAUGCUUUUAACAAUUCUUUAAAAACAAUAAAGUCAUAAUAAAAAUC
ensembl:lncRNA TDRD6-AS1 TDRD6 and SLC25A27 antisense RNA 1